GACGAACGCUGGCGGCGUGCCUAAUACAUGCAAGUAGAACGCUGAAGGAGGAGCUUGCUUCUCUGGAUGAGUUGCGAACGGGUGAGUAACGCGUAGGUAACCUGCCUGGUAGCGGGGGAUAACUAUUGGAAACGAUAGCUAAUACCGCAUAAUAUUGACUAUUGCAUGAUAGUCAGUUGAAAGGUGCAACUGCACCACUACCAGAUGGACCUGCGUUGUAUUAGCUAGUUGGUGGGGUAACGGCCCACCAAGGCGACGAUACAUAGCCGACCUGAGAGGGUGAUCGGCCACACUGGGACUGAGACACGGCCCAGACUCCUACGGGAGGCAGCAGUAGGGAAUCUUCGGCAAUGGACGGAAGUCUGACCGAGCAACGCCGCGUGAGUGAAGAAGGUUUUCGGAUCGUAAAGCUCUGUUGUAAGAGAAGAACGAGUGUGAGAGUGGAAAGCUCACACUGUGACGGUAUCUUACCAGAAAGGGACGGCUAACUACGUG
rnacentral:rRNA from 1 species